rnacentral:rRNA from 1 species
ACGGACGAGGCCCCUUCGGGGACUGAGUUAGUGGCGAACGGGUGAGUAACGCGUGAGGAACCUGCCUUUCAGUGGGGGACAACAGUUGGAAACGACUGCUAAUACCGCAUAAAGCGUAGAGAUCGCAUGGUUUUUAUGCCAAAGAUUUAUUGCUGAAAGAUGGCCUCGCGUCUGAUUAGCUAGUUGGUGAGGUAACGGCCCACCAAGGCGACGAUCAGUAGCCGGUCUGAGAGGAUGAACGGCCACAUUGGGACUGAGAUACGGCCCAGACUCCUACGGGAGGCAGCAGUGGGGAAUAUUGGGCAAUGGGGGAAACCCUGACCCAGCAACGCCGCGUGAAGGAAGAAGGCUUUCGGGUUGUAAACUUCUUUUACCAGGGACGAAGAAAGUGACGGUACCUGGAGAAAAAGCCACGGCUAACUACGUGCCAGCAGCCGCGGUAAUACGUAGGUGGCAAGCGUUGUCCGGAUUUACUGGGUGUAAAGGGCGUGUAGGCGGAGAUUCAAGUCAGGAGUGAAAUCUAUGGGCUUAACCCAUAAACUGCUUUUGAAACUGAAUCCCUUGAGUAUCGGAGAGGCAGGCGGAAUUCCUAGUGUAGCGGUGAAAUGCGUAGAUAUUAGGAGGAACACCAGUGGCGAAGGCGGCCUGCUGGACGACAACUGACGCUGA